rnacentral:rRNA from 1 species
UACAACAUAGCGUUAAUGCACCAGAUGCCAUUAGAACUCCACAAUUAAGUGCGCUCAGGAUAGAGUAGUACUGGGAUGGGUGACUACCUAGGAAGUCCUAGUGUUUUAC